AUCUUGGUGGUGUAGCACAUGUGAGAUGUGAGCCACAUUUGCUACGGCCACCAAGAUCU
rnacentral:pre_miRNA from 1 species